rnacentral:lncRNA from 1 species
GUGGAUGGGCCAACUUCUGGCUUAGCUGAUGAGAUUGCAGCUUCUCCAGAAUCGGAAGUAGAAGUUGCUACUGAAUCUGCCGGUGAGAUGAAGCGUAAAAUGGCAUAAUAGACCCCCAUGAUGUUUAGAAAGAAACAUCAGACCUAAAGUUUUUUAAAGAGGUGGCUAAAGCGGUUAAAAAUAAUAAAAACAAUGCAAAAAAUAAUAAAAGCAACAUCCAUAGUUUUUGCAAAAUAUGUAAUGCAAUAAUUUACUUUUAAAAAUAAAAAAAAAGUUACGUUAACAUUUAUUGGCACAUUUUGUCACUUAUUUUCUCAAUUAUAUACACGUUUUCAAUAGAUAUAUUUAUUUUUCAUUUUAAUAAAGUAGAUGGCAUAUUUUAUUUUUGAGCAAUUAAUAUGUUAGAUCGAAGAGAAAAUUUAUCCUAUCCGUUAAAAAUUUCAUACGUUUGUACUGUUAAUAACAAAUGUGGAUUAUGAAAUAACCAAAUAGUGGCACAUGGCAUACCAUGUGUAUCUCACGUUGGUAUACAAUGACCAAUUUUUAAAAAUAGAAAUAGAUGAAAGUGUUAACAGAAUAGCUAAUUUGCUAUUUGAUCUAACGUGCAGGGACAAAUUUACCCACUUUUUGAAUAGAUAGGCCUCCAUGGUACCUUUUUUUGUAAAUCUAUAAUGUAAGAUAGUAAAGUCGAAGCAUUUUCUUAUUGUAUGUACUAUAUUUAAAAAGAACUAAUGACGUAUUAUUUUCCUAAAAAUAGACCAAAAGGAUUUUGAGACAAAAAUCUUUUUUUUUUUUGGAACUAAUAAUGAAUUUGGGUAAACUCAAAAAAAAAAAAAUAGUCACUUAUGAUUGGCUAAAUAUAGGUUUUGGCCAUUGAACUUUAAUUUGUUACGUAUUGCUCCCUAACAUGUCAUUUGGUAACAUUUUACUCAGUUAUUCGUAUUUAUUUUUUUACUCAAAAUAAAACCUAGUGACCCAAUCUCAGCUCUAUCCUCACCACCAUUCAAAACUCCAAUCUCUAAACCUUGGCAAAUUUGCACCAUAGCCCACUGUAAAUCGAGACCUAAUCUCAACUCUAACAAUACAUUUUCAUAGUCAUAUAAAUCAACCCACCAACUUCAACCUCACCGAACCAUUACUAGCAAAGUUCCCAGAGCUCUCAACUCCAGCUAAUCAUCACCAACCUUUCUUACCAUUCUCUCUCAUUGACAUUCUCUUAGCUUCCACUCACCCAUUAUCUCCAUCACCAAUCUCUUCCCUCUGCAUAGUCUUGACCUCAACAACUCCCAUCUCGUCUCCCAUCAACGGUCACAAACUCCAACUUAAACAAGUAAGCUUUCACCUCUCCAUUCACCAUAGUUAGCAUCAACAACACCCAUCCUCUAACAGCAACGUGAAAUAUAUUCGACUCAGUCCGAAGAACUAAUAGUGUAACCAAAUUCAAACUCAAUUGUACAAUUCAAUUUAUGCUUUAUCAUGCUUAUUUCAUCAUUAAUUUUAAAUUCAACAUAGAAUAUAACAGGUACCAACUCAAUUUUAUAACAAUUUCAUAUAUUAAGUCAUGCAAUUUUCUAUUCUAUUCAAUUUAGUACUUGUUUUGAUAUCUAAUCUAAAUCACAUCAAUUCCGUUCAAGAAAUCAUCAAGAACUCACCUCCAACUCCAUAUAAUGUAGAGUGAUAUAAACAUGUAGAAAAUAAAUGGCUCUCGAAUCAUAGAAAUAGAAACCAAAAUUCUGAGCUACUCAUCAACGAUUUUAGAUUUUCAUUUCCUUCCUUCUCAAUGAAUCUGAGUCGACGUUAGCUACAGAUUGACAUAGAUCAUAUAGAAUGUCAAUAGUCAACAAAUUCCCAAUCAAUUAUCAAUUUAUAAAAAAAUUAAUUUAUUCAAUUUAGUCCCUAAAACCUAGACUAACAUAACUUUCAAUUUAAAGCUUUGGAUUGAAAUUCAAUUUCAUUAUUACUCAUUACAGACUUCCUAUUUCUUAUUCCUACUUCCAAUUUUAUGUUUUUUCAAUUUUUCCCUAAUAUACUAAACUAUCAAUUAAUCCUUACUGUUUAGUCCUUUUAUUAAACUAAACUUAAUUUCUAGCAAUUUAACACCUAAAACUUCAAGAAAUCAACAAUUCAAAUUUUUUAAAACUUCAACAAUUUUAAAAUUGGUACAUGAGCUAGCUAAAUCAAGCUCCCACAACCUCAAACUUUUUUUUACAAGAAAAUGACUUAGAAAUUCUUACCAAUUAUGGAUCGAAUUGGCUGAGGUUCAAAAAUGGUUUUUUUUUUUAGGUUUUUAGGCUUUGAACGACAAGGAAGAAGAAAGAUGAACAAAUUUCCACUAAGGUUUUAUAUUUAUACUUUAAUCUAAUCUUUAAUUAUCUAGUUAACUUAAUUUAAUUAAAAUUUAUUAACUCAAUCUAUCAUUAAUCAAAAUAAGUGGAUUCUUCCAAUCACAAAGCAGCAACUCACAUUUCAAAAUGGUUUAAUUGUUAUUUUGAACCUUUGGUUAAUUGCAAUUGAAGUCCUCAAACCUAUUUCUAAUUAAAAAUCUAUAACAAUUAAACUUUUACAAUUUAGUACUGAUAUGAUGGUAUUGCUUCUUUUUUCACAAGAGUUGUUAAGAAUUUGCCACACUCAAAUAUCUAUUUUUUAAUUAGAUUUCUAAGUUAUCUUAUAUAUUCUUUAAAUACAAGUAUCAUCAUAUUAAUAGCACUUUGAAAGACUAUAAAUAUUACUCUUGAGAUAUAUGAAAUAUUUAAUAUUUAAAAGUUUGGAGAUAUUUUUUAAGAGAUUAAUUGACCUUAAUCAAUAUUCAAAAUUUUAUAUAGUGCAUGUGCUUAAAAUAAGUAUACUAUUCAUAACAUUUGUUUUCAUUAAAAUGUAUCAACGAUCACCCACCAUGUCUUCGAGUAAAACAAAGAGAAGCAAAUCUAUAUCACCAAUAAGAAUGAUAAACAUGGCCACUGAAAAUGUGGAGAGAAGUUAUAUGUAUUUUUGCUGUGUAUGGCUAUUAGGCAUCGGACUUGUCAACGGCCCCCAAAAUUCGCCAAAACAUACUCAUUUUAAACACUUUAAAUUUUGUCUCAUUUUCAUCCUUAAGCAUCAAUAAAAAUAUAUCCUACUUUUUUCCUUAACCUUUUAAAAAACAUAAAAGAUGGUAAAGGUUCCUUUUGUUGUGUUCUCAUUGGCUUUGGUGCUCUCAAUCCAAUUCGUAGUGGGACAAGAUGAGGAGGCUAUAGAUGAGGAAGUAUCCCGGGAAGCCGAUGAUAUACUUUUGAGUUCAGGGGCAACUAAUCUCGUUGAAAACCUUAAAAGCUCUGCUGGAGAUAAUUCCCAGAGUGUGGAUGGGCCAACUUCUGGCUUAGCUGAUGAGAUUGCAGCUUCUCCAGAAUCGGAAGUAGAAGUUGCUAUUGAAUCUGCCGGUGGGAUGAAGCGUAAAAUGGCAUAAUAAUCCCAAUGAUGUUUAGAAAGAAACAUCAGACCCAAAUUUUUUUAAAGAGGUGGCUAAAGUCGUUCAAAAUAAUAAAAACAAUGCAAAAAAUAAUAAAAGCAACAUCCAUAGUUUUUGUAAAAUAUGUAAUGCAAUAAUUUACUUUUAAAAAUAAAAAAAGUUACGUUAACAUUUAUUGGCACAUUUUAUCACUUAUUUUCUAAAUUAUAUACACGUUUCCAAUAGAUAUAUUUAUUUUUUAAUUUAAUAAAGUAGAUGGCAUAUUUUAUUUUUGAGCAAUUAAUAUGUUAGAUCGAAUAGAAAAUUUGUCCUAUCCGUUAAAAAUUUCAUGCGUUUGCACUGUUAAUAACAAAUGUGGAUCAUGAAAUAACCAAAUAGUGACACAUGGCAUCCAUGUGUAUCUCACGUUGGCAUACAAUGACCAAUUUUUAAUUAUAAAAAUGGAUGGAAAUUUUAACGGGAAUAGCCAAUUUGCUGUUUGAUCUAACGUGCAGAGACAAAUUUACCCACUUUUUGAAUAGAUGUGGCAAAAUGUCCUAGUACAAGGGCCCCCAUAGUACUUUUAUCAUAAAAAUCUGUAAUGUAAGAUAGUAAAGUCGAAGCAUUUUCUUACUGUAUGUACUAUAUUUAAAAAGGGCCAAUGAUUUAUUAUUUCCAUAAAAAAAGACCAAAAGGAUUUUGAGACAAAAAUCAUAUAUAUUUUUUUGGGAUUUAAACUAAUAAAGAAUUUGGGUAAACUCAAAAAAAAAAGUCACUUAUGAUUGGUUAAAUAUAGUUUUUGGCCAUUGAACUUUAAUUUCUUACGUUUUGCUCCCUACCGUGUCAUUUUGUAACAUUUUACUCAGUUAUUCGUAUUUAUUUUUUUACUCAAAAUAAAACCUAGUGACCCAAUCUCAAGUCUAUCCUCACCACCUUUCAAAACUCCAAUCUCUAUACCUUGGCAAAUCUGCACCAUAGCCCACUGUAAACUGAGACCUAAUCUCAACACUAACAAUACAUUUUCAUAGUCAUCUAAAUCAACCCACCAACUUCAACCUCACCGAACCAUUACUAGCAAAGUUCCCAGAGCUCUCAACUCCAGCUAAUCAUCACCAACCUUUCUUACCAUUCACUCUCAUUGACAUUCUCUUAGCUUCCACUCACCCAUUAUCUGCAUCACCAAUCUCUUCCCUUAGCAUUUUCUCGGCCUCAACAACUCCCAUCCUGUUUCCCGUCAAUGAUCACAUACUCCAACUUAAAUAAGAAAGCUUUCACCUCUCCCUUCACCGUAGUUAGCAUCAACAACACCCAUCCUCUAACAGCAACGCCAAAUAUAUUUGACUCAGUCCAAACAACUAAUAGGGCAACCAAAUUCUAACUUCAUUAUACAAUUCAAUUUAUGCUUUAUCAUGCUUAUUUCAUCAUUAGUUUAUAAAUUCAACAUAGAAUAUAACAUGUGCCAACUCAAUUUUAUAACAAUUCCAUAUAUUAAGUAAGUCAUGCAAUUUUCUAUUCCAUUCAAUUUAGUACUUGUUUCGAUAUCUAAUCUAAAUCACAUCAAUUUUGUUCAACUCUCCUCCAACUGUGUAGAGUGAUAUAAACAUGCAGAAAAUAAAUGGUUUUCAAAUCAUAGAAAUAAAAACCAAAAUUCUGAGCUACUCAUCAACGACUUUGGAUUUUCAUUUCCUUCUCAACGAAUCUGAGUUGAUGUCAACUAAGAAUUGUCAUAGAACAUAUAGAACUGUCAAUAGUCAACAAAUUCCCAAUCAAUUAUGAAUUUAUAAAAAAAUACAAUUUAUUCAAUUUAAUCCCUGAAACCGAGACUAACAUAACUUUCAAUUUAAAGCUUUGGAUUGAGAUUCAAUUUCAUUAUUACUCAUUACAAACUUCCUAUUUCUUAAUCCCACUUCAAAUUUUACGUUUUAUUCAAUUUUUUCCCUAAUAUACUAAACUAUCAAUUAAUCCUUACAGUUUAGUCCUUUUAUUAAACUAAACUUAAUUUCUUGCAAUUUAACACCUAAAACUUCAAGAAAUCAACAAUGACAAUUUUUUUAAAACUUCAACAAUUUUAAAAUUGGUACAUGAGCUAGCUAAAUCAAGCUUCCACGAUCUCAAAACUUUUUUUUACAAGAAAAUCACUUGAAAAUGCUUACCAAUUAUAGAUCGAAUUGACUGAGCUUCAAAAAUGGUUUUUUUUUUUUUAGGUUUUUAGGCUUUGGACGACAAGGAAGAAGAAAGAUGAACAAAUUUCCACUAAGGUUUUAUAUUUAUACUUUAAUCUAAUCUUUAAUUAUUUAGUUAACUUAAUUUAAUCAAAAUUUAUUAACUCAAUCUAUCCUUAAUCAAAAUAAGUGGAUUCUUCCAUCACAAAGCACCAACUCAUAUUUCAAAAUGGUUUAAUUGUCAUUUUGAACCUUUGGUUAAUUGCAAUUAAAGUCCUCAAGCCCAUUUCUAAUUAAAAAUCUAUAACAAUUGAACUUUUACAAUUUAGUAUUGGAAUGAUGGUAUUGUUUUUUUUUUUCACAAUAUUUGUUAAGAAUUUGCCACACACUCAAAUAUCUAUUUUUAAUUAGAUUUCUUAGUUAUCUUAUAUAUUGUCAAAAUACGAGUACCAUCGUAUUAAUAGCACUUUGAAAGACUAUAAAUAUUACUCUUGAGAUAUAUGAAAUAUUUAAUAUUUAAAAGUUUGGAGAAAUUUUUUUAAGAGAUUAAUUGACCGUAAUCAAUAUUCAAAAUUUUAUAUAGUGCACGUGCUUAAAAUAAGUAUACUAUUCAUAACAUUUGUUUUCAUUAAAAUGUAUCAACGAUCACCCACCAUGUCUUCGAGUAAAACAAAAAGAAGCAAAUCUAUAUCACCAAUAAGAAUGAUAAACAUGGCCACUGAAAAUGUGGAGAGACGUUAUAUGUAUUUCUACUGUGUAUGGCUAUUAGGCACCAGACUUGUCAACGGCCCCCAAAAAUCGCCAAAAUUAUAUCAUUUUAAACACUUUAAAUUUUGUCUCAUUUUCAUCCUUAAGCAUCAAUAAGAAUAUAUCUCACUUUUUUCCUUAACCUUUUAAAAAACAUAAAAGAUGGUAAAGGUUCCUUUUGUUGUGUUCUUAUUGGCUUUGGUGCUUUCAAUCCAAUUCGUAGUGGGACAAGAUGAGGAGGCUAUAGAUGAGGAAGUAUCCCGGGAAGCCGACAAUGUACUUUUGAGUUCAGGGGCAACUAAUCUCGUUGAAAACUUUAAAAGCUCUGCUGGAGAUAAUUCCCAAAGUGUGGAUGGGCCAACUUCUGGCUUAGCUGAUGAGAUUGCAGCUUCUCCAGAAUCGGAAGUAGAAGUUGCUACUGAAUCUGCCGGUGAGAUGAAGCGUAAAAUGGCAUAAUAGACCCCCAUGAUGUUUAGAAAGAAACAUCAGACCUAAAGUUUUUUAAAGAGGUGGCUAAAGCGGUUAAAAAUAAUAAAAACAAUGCAAAAAAUAAUAAAAGCAACAUCCAUAGUUUUUGCAAAAUAUGUAAUGCAACAAUUUACUUUUAAAAAGAAAAAAAGUUACGUUAA